AUUGAACGCUGGCGGCAGGCCUAACACAUGCAAGUCGAACGAGUGGCGGCCGGGUGAGUAAUGUCUGGGAAACUGCCUGAUGGAGGGGGAUAACUACUGGAAACGGUAGCUAAUACCUCAUACCAUCGGAUGUGCCCAGAUGGGAUUAGCGAGUAGGUGGGGUAAAGGAUCACCUAGGCGACGAUCCCGAGCUGGUCUGAGAGGAUGACCGGAGACACUGGAACGGAGACACGGUCCAGAUUCCGACGAGAGGCAGCAGUGGGGAAUAUUGCACAAGGGGAGCAAGCCUGAGACAGCCAGGCCGCGGGGAUGAAGAAGGCCGUCGGGUUGUAAAGUACUUGCAGCGGGGAGGCGUUACCCGCAGAAGAAGCACCGGCUAACUCCGUGCCAGCAGCAGAGGUAAGGC
rnacentral:rRNA from 1 species